UUAACUAGGUAUUACUGUUGGAGCUAGAAACACAAGCAUUUAGCUAGGUAUUACUGUUGGAGCUAGAAACACAAGCAUUUAGCUAGGUAUUACUGUUGGAGCUAGAAACACAAGCAUUUAGCUAGGUAUUACUGUUGGAGCUAGAAACACAAGCAUUUAGCUAGGUAUUACUGUUGGAGCUAGAAACACAAGCAUUUAGCUAGGUAUUACUGUUGGAGCUAGAAACACAAGCAUUUAGCUAGGUAUUGCUGUUGGAGCUAGAAACACAAGCAUUUAGCUAGGUAUUACUGUUGGAGCUAGAAACACAAGCAUUUAGCUAGGUAUUACUGUUGGAGCUAGAAACACAAGCAUUUAGCUAGGUAUUACUGUUGGAGCUAGAAACACAAGCAUUUAGCUAGGUAUUACUGUUGGAGCUAGAAACACAAGCAUUUAGCUAGGUAUUACUGUUGGAGCUAGAAACACAAGCAUUUAGCUAGGUAUUACUGUUGGAACUAGAAACACAAGCAUUUAGCUAGGUA